rnacentral:rRNA from 1 species
UACGAAGGGGGCUAGCGUUGCUCGGAAUCACUGGGCGUAAAGCGCACGUAGGCGGCUUUUUAAGUCAGGGGUGAAAUCCUGGAGCUCAACUCCAGAACUGCCUUUGAUACUGAGAAGCUUGAGUCCGGGAGAGGUGAGUGGAACUGCGAGUGUAGAGGUGAAAUUCGUAGAUAUCGGGAGGAACACCAGUGGCGAAGGCGGCGAUCUAGGAAGAUACUGACGCUGAGGUGCGAAAGCGUGGGGAGCAAACAGG